GAGAUUGAAAGUUGUUUUAGUCAAAAUAUUCAUAUUUUUGUAAGCUUUACCCUAUUUUUAGAGCAUAAAAUACUUGUAAACUGCAUAUAGUGAUAAUGGAGGAAGUUUCGAAAGAUCCCGUCCAGUUUUCCAAAGGAAUUAAUUUAAGUGAAUUGAUGACCUCGGAAACCGAAUUUCACAUAGACUUAGAUUUUAAGAAGAGUAAUGUUAACCCAAUGAUAAAUGCUGAUGAAGAUUUGUUUCCCGAUAUGGAUGAAGAAGGCGACAGUGACACAGAAGACGUGUUAAAGAGAAUAGAAGAGAGCACAGACAAGAUGAUGCUGUCGUCGCCUGAUUACCACUCGUUCGAGAAGCUCGCUGUAAACAUGAUUGAUUGCGUCGCGAGUGGGGAUGUCAAGAUACUCGUCAUUGAAGAAGGUGACGGUCCACUAGUGCCAGUAGACGCGGAGGUGACGAUACACUACGCAGCGUAUUGGGAAAAAGCGAAGAUACCAUUUGAUUCUACCCUCACCAUGAAUCAGGGUGCUCCAAAGCGUAUACGCCUUGGAGCCGGUAAUAUCAUACCCGGUCUAGAGAUAGGUUUAACGACAGUCAAAGGUCCAACAGCGCGGUUCAACCUGCUGGUGCAGCCGGCCGCGGCGUGGGGCCCGCGGGGCGUGCCCCCCAGGAUCCGUCCGGAGCCGGCCCUGUUUGUCAUAGUGUUGUACGAUGUUAAGGAUAACCAGGCCGCUGUAAGAUUCAACGACCUGCCAACGGAAGAGCAAACGAAAUUUGAAACAACAUCAAAAACAGUCAAGGCUUUGCGCAUGGACGCUAAAGAAUUGUUUCAAAAAAGGAAGUAUUCAAAAGCAAUGAAAUGUUACCAACAGGCUAUGACUGUUUUGUCUAUGGCCCAUCCAAAGACAGCGGAAGAACAGGCAGAAUUAAAAGAUAAUAGAGUCAAAAUCUAUGUCAACUUAGCUGUAUGUUAUUACAAACUGAACAAGCCAAAAUAUGUCUUAUUAAUGUGUGAGAAUUUGGACAAAAUUAUUGAUAUAAAUAAUCAUUGUAAAGCAUUAUUUUAUUGUGGCAGGGCGAAUGAACAGUUAGGCAAAAUAGAAGAAGCCAUUAAAUACUAUAAAAAAGCGUUGAAAUUAGAACCAAAAAACACAGACAUAGGCAAAGCACUGGCCGCUAUAGAUGACAAAAUAAAAAAAUCAGAAAAAAAAGAAACAGAAAUGUGGCAAAAAGUUUUUAAUACGGAAGUUAAAGAGAAAAAAGUGUAUGCCGUUGAUCAGGAUUUUCAAAACGACGUUCUUAGUAUGUGCGAAGAUUUGUCGAAGAGGGAGGAGCAUUCGAAAUUUGAAUUGCCUCCGGGUUUGAUGAAGGAGGAAGUGGAAUGCAUCAAAGGGUUGGUGGAGGGUUUUAGUAACCUCGUAGUUUCAGAAGAGGUUCGCGGUAAUGCCAAAAAGCUUACAAUAAUCAAAAAGUCUUACCCAUAGAACAGCUAUGCCAUAGCUUCUUAUUUCAAUUUAACAAGGUUAUAUUUUCCUAAAAGCCAGUUUCAAAAAAGGAUCUCAAUCGCUUUUUUAUCUAUCACAAAAAUUAACCAAUCAGAACAAAGUAUUUUUGACAUUACAGAUGAGUUAUUAUGAUUGAUUCAUUGUCGGAAUCGGAUCGAAGAUUGAGUCGUUUAUUGAAAACGGCUGUUAUCCUAAUAUGACAUUUGUGUUGUGAUUACUAUAGGUUUAUAAUUACUUGAUAUUUACAGUUCAUGAAAACUGUGUCAGAUUGAACUAAGAUUAUAAAUCGCUUUAAUCAUCUCUUGUAUUUCAUGUAAGUCUCUUAAGACAUAUUUUUGGAAUUCUAAGUUACUUGAUAACAUUUAAAUUCACUUUGGUAUAGUAUAGUGAGGAGAGCUAAUUACCAGACUUGUAGCUACCGUAUUAGGGGACCAGGGAUCCUGUGAAAAGUGCACCUGUGCAUUGGGUGACGUAGCACGCCAUUGCUAAUUAUAUAGGUAAUUUAUUUGAUUGAUUUAAAGAGCUUGCGGCACCGUUUUGCAGGUUUUCGAAGUGGAGCGAAAUAAAUGCUUCGUGGACUUAAUAAUUAUUUAUUUUUAUUUGGAGAAAAAAAUUAACCGGCCCAAAGGCACAUAUUUAUCCACAGACAGUGUUACCAACAUGAAAAAAAAUUACCACUAUUAAAAUAUACAAUGUUGCCAAUCGUUUUUAUAUCGAUAUUUA
rnacentral:misc_RNA from 1 species